rnacentral:lncRNA from 1 species
GUUACAUGCGGAAGGUGUGAAGAUUAUUAAAAACUUGCUAAUUUGUUUAAGUUUACACUUAUAUUUGUUUCGAAACAAUUUUAGGCCAAAUAAAUUAUUUUUUUAUUUUUUCAAUUAAGGAAAUUUAUUUGGAUUUAAAACCGAUUCCCCUCUUUUAGAAAAUAUUUUUUCUGUUAUCAUGUGUUAGCGGUGUUAAACUGCUUAUGGGUAAGUGCAGCCGCUUCAGUUUUGUUGUUAGUGGCUACUUAUAAAGUUUGUUUGUCGAUUAUGAUUUUCUUUUGUUACUAAAUUAAAAAUAAUAAAAUAAAUUGAAAAAUUAAAAUUAAACUUGGAUGGAAACACUUUAUAUUUAAAAUUCAUGACAUUGUCCUUACGUAAAAAAAUAUAAUUUAAAAAACAUUAUAAAAUUGAAAUAUACUUAAUUCUUCUUUAGGAGAUAAAACAUGUGGAUGUAUUGUUACAAAGUGUGCUCUAAACAUUUUCAUAUUCUCUAUUUAUUUAUAAAUUUCCAAAUAAUAUAGAUAUAGUUUAAAUAGAGAAUGCAUAUUGGUCCUAUUUAUUUUCCUUCAGAGUGCAAUAAAAAAUUAUUUAGUUGCUUAAUGUUGAUAGAUCUAUUUUCGAUGAUUACAUAUUAUUUUUAUUAUAAUUAUUAAAUUUUAAUAUGAAAAUUGUUAAGGUAAAGACUAUAUAUUAUUCAAAUAAAUUGUAGAUUUUAUGUUGUAACAUCUCUGAAAUUGACAAGCAAGUUAAUAACCAUUUUAUGUUUUGUAGUAGAAAAUUUUAAGACUUAUUAUAGAAAAUUAUUAUAUAUUAACUGUAUUAAUACAUUUUCAUUUAAGAUAUGCAUGUUAGUUCGUUUAUAAAAUGAUAUUAUGCAAGUUUCUAGUAAGGCAAAGAUCGAAAACACAUUCACAUAUAGUUUGGGUUAUGUUUAUUUUUACUUUGCUCUUGGAGAUGAGUGGGUUUGUACAUAAUAAUAAUUUACAACAAUCUCCCUAUAUCUCCCUAUCUCAUAAGUUUUCAUUUUGAUUCAUUUCUUGCAUGGAAAACAUAAGAUAAACAUUUUUCUUUUAUUUUACUUUAACAUUAAUUUGUUUGGGAGUAUAGAGAACACGGGGAAGGAAGUCAUUUAAUGGGAAAGGGAGAAGAGGACUUUUCAUUUAUGUAUGAAAGUUUAUUAUAUAAAAUAUUUGUUAUUUUUACCUGUUUAUUUUCCUAUUUUGACCUCUAACUUUUUAAUCUACAUAUUUUUUAUUUGAAGCUUAAGAGAUAAGUCCAUAUAUUUUGUUUUUAUGAGUUUAAAUUUAAAUACCCUCCAAAUAUAAUUUUACAAUAAGUACACAUUUUUAUUGAGAAGAAAAAAAGUUAUCAUGUGGCAUUGUUAUAUAAUGCCCUUAGAAAAAUGUUUCUUCGAUACGUAAUAACAUGAAAACUAUAAGAUACUUAUUUUCUAGAUCCAAAUCGUGAUAGAAAUUAAUAUUGCUUGUUUUGUCUUAUUUAUAUUUAAUUAUUUAAGCGACCACUUUACGUACCUAUUUAAACUUUCUUCACAGUGCUUUCUCUAUUGACAUGAAGAAAAAAAACUAAUGUAAAAAGAACAUGUAGAAUUCAUAAGGAGUUCUAAAUCUAUUUUGUUGGAGGCUAUAUAUUCAAUUUCCGGUUAAGAAACAAUAAUAAUAGAAAAAAGGCUUAAAAACUCGUUUAAAACAAUGAUCUCAUUUGGAAGUCACUUAAUGGAUUUAAUAAGGUGUUAAGGUCGAAUAUUUGUAUGGGCACCACAUAAACUAUUUAAUUAUAUCAUUUCAUGUAGGAAAUUGAAGUUGACGAUUAUUCUAAUUGAAAAUACAAAAUAUACUCUUAAAAUGAACUUUUUCCAUUUUAAUGGGGUACAGAGGGAGUUAGAUGAAAUUAAAAAUUAAAAUUUAUGCUCAUGUUUCACGAUUUGAUCCAUCAUAACUGGAAAUGAGAAAAAUAUAUGUACCAAGGUUACCUCUUAAUAAUACACAUAUGAAUAUGGAUUCUAUCAUAUAAAGAUUUAAUCAUUCUCUCCUCAUUGUCAUAAGGGAAGUACAAGCACUUGAUUUUUAUCAAGAGAAAAAUAAAUCCUAAUGAUAACUACCUAAUGAUUAUUACAUAUAAUUAAUCUACAUUGUCAAAAUAAGAUGAAUCCUCAACAAUGAAAAAAGUUGGUAAUUCGAUCUCAAAAGGGGUGCAGGUUUCUACUCAAUUCAUGCAUGUUGGUAAAGAAUCCGAAUAGCCGUGUUUGUAUGGCAAAAGUGAUCUUCGUUUAUUGCUCCCUUUUCUUGCUUUAUUGUCACAUAAAGCUUCUCAUAAGCCGUUAAUGUAUUUUUGGGUUUCACCUUUCCUCUUUUUAAUAAUGAUGUUUUCUACAUUGGGCUUUAUUGACGUUUUUGACUCUGAAGGAUUCAAUAUAACAAAAGAAUCCUUAUGGUCACUGUUACUUCGAAGAUCCAAAUUUUGUCUAAAUCUCCAGAGAUUUGAUGAUCCUGUUGAGUUGCUUUUCUCGUAACACUCACUUGAAGCCUUCAUUGUAAUAUUUUGCAAUAUCUCAUUUGAGUUUCUUUAGAAAUACCACUCGAUAUUGAUGUGGACUUACAAAAUUCUUAAUAAAGAUGUUCUUUAGAGAGAUGUCGAAUAUGUGAAGCAUUGUAUUUAUGGUGGGAAUAUAUUGAAGCGAUUGGUCAAAAGUAGGCAGUAAUGCUCUCAUUUUUCCAUUUUCAAAUAUGUCAUCGGCAAUAUAUGCAUUCCUUUGACAUCGGUGCAUGCAAAACUAAAUUCUUGUUCUCUUAUUUUUCUUCGUCGCUUUUUUGAAUUUGUUGAUUUGUGCUACAAUGCAUUGAGAGUUAUCUUGAGCGGGAGCAAAGACUCAAAAUCUAAUACAGUGUCGUGUUUAUGUGUUUUUUUGUGCUACAAUAUGGAUCAAGAUUAUCUUGGAUGAAAGCAAAGUUAUCAAAAUCAAAAGAAGCAUCGUCACUUAUUUGGUCAUUUGUGCCACAACAUGGAUCAACUUUAUCUUGAAUAGGAGAUAAGCAAGAAAAAUCAAGGAAAGGGUGAGGUGUACAAAGGAUUGAUAGUGCUUGCACCCUUAACUCUCUAUAUUGAGUUUGUUUUCUGCAUUUUGUUUUAAUAGAGAGAUGAGAAAUUGGUGAAGUAACUUUGUUAUUGAAAGUGAUUGUUAAAUGAGAGAUAUUUAUAUAUAAACACAAUUUUUUAUUGUAUUUGUUAGUUCAAUGGAACACGGUUAGCUUGGAUAUUUAAGGAGGUAGUUACAUGCGGAAGGUGUGAAGAUUAUUAAAAACUUGCUAAUUUGUUUAAGUUAUACCUUAUAUUUGUUUCGAAACAAUUUUAGGCCAAAUAAAUUUAUUUUUUUAUUUUUUUCAAUUAAGGAAAUUAUAUUUGGAUUUAAAACCGAUUCCCCUCUUUUAGAAAAUUAUUUUUCUGUUACAUGUGUUAGCGGUGUUAAACUGCUUAUGGGUAAGUGCAGCCGCUUCAGUUUUGCUUGUUAGUGGCUACUUAUAAAGUUUGUUUGUCGAUUAUGAUUU